GGUGUCUGGAACUCUAUUGGAGGGAUGCGACACCAUUCUUCCACGAGAAAUUCCAUAAUUUGGUGUUUUUUUAUGGUGGUUUUACCCUGUGUCUGUAACGGCAUUCUUCCUCCUCUUCUGAGGAGGAGUAGCGAGAAGGAUCGGAGGACCAAUGCGCAGCGUGAGAAGUGGCAGUGAUUUCAUUACAAAAUGGUUUCUGGUUCAUCUUUCCAAGAGGAGGAUUUCUUCUGUCCCUGUGUGCCGUGACAUCUUCAAGGAUCCUGUCAUCCUGCCGUUUUGCCACAGGGGUUUCCUGUAAACCUGUCUGUGGGAAUACUGGAAACAAAGGGGAUAUCGGGAACAGAAGAAGUGUUUCCAAAAAUGUCAAUAUUAAGAUGUCAGAGAGCUUCAUAAACAGAUAUGGGAAGAUCUGAGGUGCUAAGUACUCUGUACAGUGACAAACACAAGCUCUAACAAAACCUAUUAAUUAUACAUGUGUAAAUUAAAUAGAUUAAUAAUCAGAUUAUUUUUGUUUCAACAAGACAAACUCAAGCUCUUCUGUCUGGUGGAUAAACAGCCCACCUGUUGGGUGUGUCGAGAUUAAAGAAACAUAAAAAAUCAUGACUGCAAACCACUAUUUAUAUAUUUAUACUGAAAGAAAAGUGAUAGGGAAAACAAUAUGUUGGAACUCCAGGGGCUGAUAUGAAGACCACACAAAACAAAAUACAUAACUACAGAGAUAAAUAAGGUUAAAACUGAUAACAAAACCUACUAAUUAUACAUGUAUAAAUGAAUAGAUCAACAAUCAGGAUUAAAAUAUACAUACAAUACACACAUAUGUUGUGGCAGACAAGGGGGUUGGGGUCAAAACGUUGACACAGAUCAGACACGGACAGAGUAGCUCAGUUUCAAAGGUGUUUAUUCAAAUAAUAGUCCAAUAGAAAAGAAUUAGGUCUCCCCCCAAGAGACCCUCUCCAGGAGACCGUCUACUGGGCUCUGGGUCUUACUGUAUCCCCCAAGAGACCCUCUCCAGGAUACCGUCUACUGGGCUCUGGGUCUUACUGUAUCCCCCAAGAGACCCUCUCCAGGAU
ensembl:lncRNA